rnacentral:rRNA from 1 species
UACAUGCAAGUCGAGCGGGACCUUCGGGUCCAGCGGCGGACGGGUGAGUAACGCGUGGGAAUAUGCCCUCUUCUACGGAAUAGCCUCGGGAAACUGAGAGUAAUACCGUAUACGCCCUUCGGGGGAAAGAUUUAUCGGAGAAGGAUUAGCCCGCGUUGGAUUAGGUAGUUGGUGGGGUAAUGGCCUACCAAGCCUACGAUCCAUAGCUGGUUUGAGAGGAUGAUCAGCCACACUGGGACUGAGACACGGCCCAGACUCCUACGGGAGGCAGCAGUGGGGAAUCUUAGACAAUGGGGGCAACCCUGAUCUAGCCAUGCCGCGUGAGUGAUGAAGGCCUUAGGGUUGUAAAGCUCUUUCAGCUGGGAAGAUAAUGACGGUACCAGCAGAAGAAGCCCCGGCUAACUCCGUGCCAGCAGCCGCGGUAAUACGGAGGGGGCUAGCGUUGUUCGGAAUUACUGGGCGUAAAGCGCACGUAGGCGGACUGGAAAGUUGGAGGUGAA